AUGAUCCUGUGGCUCAACUUGCUAUCCUUACUUGCAGCCCUAAAAGGUCUCCGAUCUGAGAUCCAGUUGGUGGAGUCUGGAGGAGAUGUGAGAAGGCCUGAAGAUUCCCUCCAUCUUUCCUGUCAAACCUCUGGAUUCACCUUCAGGAACUAUCACAUGACCUGGGUGAGACAGGCUCCUGGGAAAAUACUACAGUAUGUUGCUCACAUCUACAGUGAUGCCAGUGGAAAGUUCUACUCAGACAAAGUGAAGGGACGCUUCACCGUCUCCAGGGACAAUGCCAAAAGCCAGCUGUACCUGCAAAUGAACAGCCUCAAAGAAGAGGACACAGCUGUCUAUUACUGUGCAAGAGACAUACACAGUGUCAAGUCUGAGGUCCACUUAGUGGAGUCCGGAGGGGACAUAAGAAGACCUGGAGAGUCCCUUCGCCUCUCCUGCCAAGCCAGUGGAUUCACCUUCAGCAGCUACUACAUGGCCUGGGAGAGACAGGCUCCAGGGAAAGGCCUGGAAAUGGUUGCAGAUAUUGGUAGAUCCUCAUCUCCAACUCGCUACUCAGACAAAGUCAAAGGACGCUUCACCAUCUCCAGGGAUGAUUCCCGCAGCCAGCUGUAUCUGCAAAUGAACAACUUGAAACCAGAGGACACAGCUGUCUAUUACUGUACGAGAGAAUCACAGUGA